UUGUUACUUUUCGAUUGUAUCAACUACAUCCUCGGUACUUUCGGUGCUAAAAAGUGAUCAGAGACGAAGCGCACAUGGAGAUGCCCGACGCCCCGAAAGAUGCACAGGUGUGAAGAAAGAUGGGGCGAAGCCUCUAAAGAGAGCGCUCCUUUCUUUCGUUAAUGAUCCUUCCGCAGGUUCACCUACGGAAA
rnacentral:misc_RNA from 1 species